rnacentral:rRNA from 1 species
AUUGAACGCUGGCAGCAUGCCUUACACAUGCAAGUCGAACGGCAGCACGGGAGCAAUCCUGGUGGCGAGUGGCGAACGGGUGAGUAAUAUAUCGGAACGUGCCCAGUCGUGGGGGAUAACGCAGCGAAAGCUGUGCUAAUACCGCAUACGAUCUAUGGAUGAAAGCGGGGGACCGUAAGGCCUCGCGCGAUUGGAGCGGCCGAUAUCAGAUUAGCUAGUUGGUGGGGUAAAGGCCCACCAAGGCGACGAUCUGUAGCUGGUCUGAGAGGACGACCAGCCACACUGGAACUGAGACACGGUCCAGACUCCUACGGGAGGCAGCAGUGGGGAAUUUUGGACAAUGGGCGCAAGCCUGAUCCAGCAAUGCCGCGAGCAGGAUGAAGGCCUUCGGGUUGUAAACUGCCUUUGUACGGAACGAAACGGUCUCUAUUAAUACUGGGGGCUAAUGACGGUACCGUAAGAAUAAGCACCGGCUAACUACGUGCCAGCCGCCGCGGUAA